rnacentral:rRNA from 1 species
GUGGGGAAUCUUCCGCAAUGGACGAAAGUCUGACGGAGUAACGCCGCGUGAGUGAAGAAGGUUUUCGGAUCGUAAAGCUCUUUCGUUAGGGACGAACGUGCUCUUUGUGAAUAAUGAGGAGUAAUGACGGUACCUAAAUAAGAAGCCACGGCUAACUACGUGCCAGCAGCCGCGGUAAUACGUAGGUGGCAAGCGUUGUCCGGAAUUAUUGGGCGUAAAGCGCGCGCAGGCGGGAUAUCAAGUCUGUCUUAAAAGUGCGAGGCUCAACCUCGUGAGGGGACAGAAACUGGUAUUCUUGAGUGUCGGAGAGGAAAGUGGAAUUCCAAGUGUAGCGGUGAAAUGCGUAGAGAUUUGGAAGAACACCAGUGGCGAAGGCGACUUUCUGGACGAUGUCUGACGCUGAGGCGCGAAAGCUAGGGGAGCGAACGGGAUUAGAUACCCGAGUAGUCC